rnacentral:lncRNA from 1 species
AGUGCUAAUUUUAACUUUUACAAGGCAUCCAAGUAUCCAUUCUCUAAUGAUGAUCUAUAUGAAAAUUGAACCAAAGACAGCAACGCUCCUUCUUCACCUUACUUCAAGAGUUCUAGCCCUUAGAACUCGACUAGCCUCAUACCGGUCAAGUUUCUUCAAGAACCUGACCUCACCCUCUUAGAACCUCCUCUAAACUUUUGAUUCUCCUUUUUAAGACCCUUACAACCCUUGUUAGGACCAGAUAAGGCUUUGUCUUAAAUUCCAAAGCCUUGUCUUAAAACUAAGAUAUGUUGUAAGAAAGAAAGGAGAGCAACAGGAGAGAAAUUGAAAACCCCUC